GCCAGGUGCAGUGGCACGUGCCUAUAGUCCCAGCUACUCGGGAGGCUGAGGUGGGAAGAUCGCUUGAGCCCAGGAGUUCUGGGUUGUAGUGUGCUAUGCCAAUCGGGUGUCCGCACUAAGUUCAGCAUCAAUAUAGUGACCUCCGGGGAGCAGGGGACCACCAGGUUGCCUAAGGAGGGGUGAACCGGCCCAGGUCGGAAACGGAGCAGGUCAAAACUCCCGUGCUGAUCAGUAGUGGGAUCGCGCCUGUGAAUAGCCACUGCACUCCAGCCUGGGCAACAUAGCAAGACCCCAUCUUA
rnacentral:SRP_RNA from 1 species